GGCUGGUCCGAAGGUAGUGACUUAUCUCAGUUGAUUGUUCACCGUCAGUUACAGAUUAAACUCCUGUUCUACACUUUCCCCCCUUCUUACUACUGUACUUGACUAGUACAC
ensembl:Y_RNA Y_RNA Y RNA